rnacentral:tRNA from 5 species
CGCGGGGUAGAGCAGCCCGGUAGCUCGUCAGGCUCAUAACCUGAAGGCCGCAGGUUCGAAUCCUGCCCCCGCCACCA